rnacentral:rRNA from 1 species
GUGCUACCCCCUGCGCGAGGGCGCAUCCCCUACACCCGGCGUCGAGGCGCUGGAGCGCCAGGGGGCAUCAAGGACAUGCCAGAUGCGGGAAAUCACAGCCAAAGCCUAGAGGCUUAGCCCUCAGGUCACAGCCGUACACUCGCCCGCCAGCAGCCGCGGUAAUUCCAGCUCCAAUAGCGUAUAUUAAAGUUGUUGCAGUUAAAAGCUCGUAGUUGAACCUUGGGCCUGGCUGGCCGGUCCGCCUCACCGCGAGCACUGGUCCGGCCGGGUCUUUCCUCCCGGGGAUCCGCAUGCCCUUCGCUGGGCGUGCCGGGGAACCGGGACUUUUACUUUGAAUAAAUUGGAGUGCUCCAAGCAGGCAACCGCUCGAACACAUUAGCAUGGAAUAAUGGAAUAGGACGUCGCGGUUCUAUUUUGUUGGUUUCUAGGACCGCCGUAAUGAUUAAUAGGGGCGGUCGGGGGCAUCCGUAUUGGGCUGUCAGAGGUGAAAUUCUUGGAUUUGCUCGUGACGAACUACUGCGAAAGCAUUUGCCAAGGACGCUUUCAUUAAUCAGGAACGAAAGUUAGGGGAUCGAAGACGAUUGACGCAAGCCGUCGUGUUCAUCGUCGCUUGUAACUAGGUACUCCGUAUCUGGUCGUCCAAAGGGUCGCUAGGGUAGUGGGCAGCAAGCCUAGACUCUACCGCUCUAGCCGCUAAUACCAGCGGCGACACCGCUAGACUGCGGGGACCGUCUCUAGGCCUUUACUACUACCACCCGCCCACUAGAAAUAGGGGCGGUAGGGUAACAACGUAGUCUAGCGUGAGGGCUUAACUGCUCCAUAGAGGCCAAUCCGCAGCCGAACCCCGCUA